rnacentral:rRNA from 1 species
CUACGGGCCGCUGCAGUGGGGAAUCUUAGACAAUGGGGGAAACCCUGAUCUAGCCAUGCCGCGUGAGCGACGACGGCCCUAGGGUUGUAAAGCUCUUUCAGCAGGGAAGAUAAUGACGGUACCUGCAGAAGAAGUCCCGGCUAACUCCGUGCCAGCAGCCGCGGUAAUACGGAGGGGACUAGCGUUGUUCGGAAUUACUGGGCGUAAAGCGCGCGUAGGCGGAUUGGUAAGUCGGGGGUGAAAUCCCGGGGCUCAACCCCGGAACUGCCCUCGAUACUGGCAGUCUUGAGUUCGAGAGAGGUGAGUGGAAUUCCGAGUGUAGAGGUGAAAUUCGUAGAUAUUCGGAGGAACACCAGUGGCGAAGGCGGCUCACUGGCUCGAUACUGACGCUGAGGUGCGAAAGCGUGGGGAGCAAACAGGAUUAGAUACCCCCGUAGUC